GGAUGGUCUGAGUACAGUGAUGAUGUUUACAACUGAUUGAUCACAACCACUUACAGAUUUCUUUGUUCCUUCUCCACUCCCACUGCUUCACUUGACUAGCCUCAA
ensembl:misc_RNA Y_RNA Y RNA